GGAUAAACAGCUUUGCUUCUCAUGGUCUCUGCAGACUUGGGAGGCAGAAGAAGAAAAAAUGAUAUAUCUCAAGUAGGGAUAACUGAUACUGUCAGAGGAGAUACUGUAUGUCCACUUUAAACUGCAGUUUUAGAGCACUUCAUUUGGUGGAACUAACAAAGGCAAAGCAAACAGCGAUUAACCAAGAGACUGCGUCCCAUGUGUUUAAUUAGUGAUUACCUACUAUGACUCAUUUGAAGGAAGAAGCUCAUUUCCCAUUACCCACCUAACUUUAAG